CCCCUUCAUUAUCUCUCUUUUCUGCUCCACAAUGGUAGGAUGUGCUUGCUGGCUUCUCCUUCACCUUCUGCCAUGAUUGUCAGUUUCCUGAGGUCUCCCAACCAUGCUUCUGUACAGCGUGUAGAACUGAAAGAAAAGAGAAGAAUGAAAUACCAUCUGUUCUGCCUUCUAAGAAGUUGAGAAUUCUUGUAGUGAUGCACUUUGAAAAUAUCUUCCUAGAUUUAUUUAUGAGUACAUCCUUUAAGACCAGGAUUAAAGUCUUUUUUCCUUCCCUUCCAAUCAAUAAUGCCUGGCAGUCUGUCAUGGAGCAAUAUUACAUAGGUCUGACUGAUUUAUUCUUCCUAAAAUCCCACUGACUACUCACUGGCGCCCGUGAUUGUUUAGCAUUUUAUAAAUGAAAUGAUUAAUGAGUUUGGUCUUUUCAGAUAUCAAUGUUAAGGUGACCAGUCUAUAAUUUUUGGGGGCUAUUACGUUAUUUUCAUUUUUAGAGGAAGGCCUUAUGCAUAUCCUUUUUCAGCUUUAGGCUUCAUCAUUGUCCAACAUGCACCUGGAAAGAUUAUUGCUGUAAUAAGUUCAGGAUAUAUUUUAACCCUUGAACUAUGCUACGAGGGCAUGCUGAUCUGGAAAUAUCCACUAUAUUUAAUACUAGACUCAUUUAUCUUCUAUUUUGGAUGAUCUUUGUAUUCUAUUGCACAAGUGGUAGAAACUUUAUUCUACCACUGUUGAACCUGUUACAGGCAUCAUACUCAAAUUAAGCUUUUGAAAAAAACAAAAACAAUUACUCCCCUCAGAGCUCUAUGGUUCCCACUCAUAAUUUCCCAAUCAUAAAAAUUGAUAACAGAAAUAAUCAGAGACAUUUUAUAAAACCUGGGAAAGAUGCCCAUAGUGGAGAUAUGUUAUUAUUUUUCUAUGUAUCUCUAAUAUCCUAUUGCCACAGAUUAUUUAGAAAUUGAUUCAGAAGGCUUUGUAGCUUCACUUUUUAUAUCAAAAGAUUCCACAUUAUGUUACUUUGUUUUCCCAGCAAGUCUAAUUUAAAGUUUGAUGAUUCCCUCCCUGGAGAUCUUCACCUGCAGUUCCUGGCAUGAGUGAUGCCACUUCCACACCGUCAGUUUAAUCCCUUCAUAUCUCUUCUGCAUCUAUGACACAACUUUAUCUUCUUGUUGCUGAGGCUGCCUCACCCUUGGUAGAAGCUUUUGGUGGCACUUAUGACCAGCUAAUCAACUUGACUAUCAGGCAGCACCAUUCCACAGAGUUGUAUGUGAUCUAUGGAAAAUCAACCCCUCUGCCCUGCUUUCAAUGAACUUGUAACUUACUACUGACAAGAGGCUUCUUGUUCUUCUAU